rnacentral:rRNA from 1 species
AGGGUUUGAUCCUGGCUCAGAUUGAACGCUGGCGGCAGGCUUAACACAUGCAAGUCGAGCGGUAGCACAAGAGAGCUUGCUCUCUGGGUGACGAGCGGCGGACGGGUGAGUAAUGUCUGGGAAACUGCCUGAUGGAGGGGGAUAACUACUGGAAACGGUAGCUAAUACCGCAUAACGUCGCAAGACCAAAGAGGGGGACCUUCGGGCCUCUUGCCAUCAGAUGUGCCCAGAUGGGAUUAGCUAGUAGGUGGGGUAAUGGCUCACCUAGGCGACGAUCCUUAGCUGGUCUGAGAGGAUGACCAGCCACACUGGAACUGAGACACGGUCCAGACUCCUACGGGAGGCAGCAGUGGGGAAUAUUGCACAAUGGGCGCAAGCCUGAUGCAGCCAUGCCGCGUGUGUGAAGAAGGCCUUCGGGUUGUAAAGCACUUUCAGCGAGGAGGAAGGUGGUGAGCUUAAUACGCUCAUCAAUUGACGUUACUCGCAGAAGAAGCACCGGCUAACUCCGUGCCAGCAGCCGCGGUAAUACGGAGGGUGCAAGCGUUAAUCGGAAUUACUGGGCGUAAAGCGCACGCAGGCGGUUUGUUAAGUCAGAUGUGAAAUCCCCGGGCUCAACCUGGGAACUGCAUUUGAAACUGGCAAGCUAGAGUCUCGUAGAGGGGGGUAGAAUUCCAGGUGUAGCGGUGAAAUGCGUAGAGAUCUGGAGGAAUACCGGUGGCGAAGGCGGCCCCCUGGACGAAGACUGACGCUCAGGUGCGAAAGCGUGGGGAGCAAACAGGAUUAGAUACCCUGAUAGUCCACGCUGUAAACGAUGUCGAUUUGGAGGUUGUGCCCUUGAGGCGUGGCUUCCGGAGCUAACGCGUUAAAUCGACCGCCUGGGGAGUACGGCCGCAAGGUUAAAACUCAAAUGAAUUGACGGGGGCCCGCACAAGCGGUGGAGCAUGUGGUUUAAUUCGAUGCAACGCGAAGAAUC